rnacentral:piRNA from 1 species
UGAAAUCGGUCACACGCUGCUCCU